UGCUCUCGUUUCUAGUCUUGGUCAGAAAAGAGCUGAUAUGAAAUAAAUAAAUCUUGGGCGGCUUGACAGGUUUAAAAUGAUUCAGGAAAAUCACACAAGAGGUGACUUUCUAAUACAGAGGGAAGACUUGCCCAGGGAGGAAGAAAAUAUUGGCAGAAUGGAUCACCUGUCCAUUGUCGAAUCUGGGUAAUUCCAACAUCAAAUUCAUCAGGAUCCAUAACUGGUGUGUGUUCCUGUCGUGAACCGAGUGCUCAGAAAUUUGGGAAUCAUUGAGGACCUCUUGCAUGAUGAGAACAACUCUAAACCUCAAAGUCUCCUACAUCAUGCUCGUGCUCCUUACUGUCUACCUGUACUGCACUCUCUCUAUGCUGCCUGACCCGCUGAGUAUUUCCAGCAUUACAGAUGAGGAUGUUUCAUGAGCCAGCUGUUGAUGCCAGGGAUGUAGAAAACACCAGUUGACUACUUAUAUCUCAUAGUUGCCACCAAGCUAUCUCUGCUAAUUGGAGUCUUUGUGCUCAAGGAAUGGUAGCUAUUUGUACAACACGUGCAGAAAGACUG